UACAGAGGUCUCGAGCGUUAGGCGGAAUCACUGGGCUUAAAGCGUGUGUAGGCGGAUCGGUAAGUACCUUGUGAAAUCCCACAGCUUAACUGUGGAACUGCUUGAUAUACUGCCAGUCUUGAGCCACUUAGGGGCUACCGGAACAAAUGGUGGAGCGGUGAAAUGCGUAGAUAUCAUUUGGAACGCCAAUGGUGAAAACAGGUAGCUGGGAGUGUGCUGACGCUGAGACACGAAAGCCAGGGGAGCAAACGGG
rnacentral:rRNA from 1 species